UUGUUGUCGUCCUCGUUUUCAAGUCUAAUAUUUAAGAGAUAAUUUAACGUUUUGGUUUCACAAUUUAACGAUGGAUGACUGUUCUCUUUGAUUGUUGCGUAAUGACGGAGGCGCAGACACACACAGAGAGAGAGAGAGAGAGAGAGAGAGAGAGAGAGAGAGAGAGAGAGAGAGAGAGAGAGACCGGUUUCAAAUCUAUUUCCGUAAAUUGAUUCUGCCUUAAACAGACAGAGAGAAAGAGAGAAUCUAAGAAUAUUGUAUUUAUGUAUCUAUUACAGACGAUUAGACUGCUAGCUGACUUUCCUGGUUUGAAAAUGAUAAAGCAAAUGGUGGUUAUUGAUAAUCCCAAUGAGCGGUUAUCUUUCGUCGUAGCUGUAUUCACCUUUCGUUCACACGAUCGACGUAUUCUUCCGUUAUUGAUUUUUCUUCAGGUGUCAGCCACGAAUCCGUUUUCCACGGUGUCCAAUAACAUUCCUCAUCGUCGCAGUAGUUUCACGCAGUAACAAUUUUCUUCUCGAACAAUCCUAAAUGGCACGAUCGAAUGAACAACAACAGAACAACAACAACAACAACAACAACAACAACAACAACAACAACAACAACAACAACAACAACAACAAUGACGACUUAUAGAAUACAUAAAGUUGAAGAACAGGAAGAUCGUAGUUUAACCGAACUCGAGUUUACUCAUGUGAGUCUUGUGGCAUAGUUUUUCGAUGAGAGAACUAGCUUGACACUUGCAACAUUAAUGCACAGAAAUUACGUCCGAACGAGGGUGGAUAACCUUAGCCGUACCGCUCAACGAAAGAUGACAUUCCUUUUUGCUUCUCUUUCUUUCUCUCUCUCUCUCUCUCUCUCUCAAGCAAAUUCCCUUUCAUCUUGCCAAGGCUCGUUGCACGUAAUAUAUCCGCGGAAGAUGCCUUCCAACUCUAACUCUUGUGAUUUCUCGACCCUCACUCUUUUUCACGACUGCUGGCCUCUGGCUUGAAUACGUCAGUAGGCCAUUUCGAUUAUUUAUUUACAACCAAAGCAAGGUUCCUAAUGGAGUUUGGACGAGUUAAUCAGUCCGGCUUUUCUUCCUCAAGUUUCCGUAACAUACAAGUGGCUUUUUAUAAGGUUGACUUGUCAGGUCGACUCUCAACCCCUAUUAGUCGCCUUUUACGAGAAGCGAGGGAUACUAUGGAAUCGGUGAAUUUGCAGGGAAGUAGAGCACUACCACCGUUUUGUGCAAGGACAUCGGUUACGAAUUCUCCACGUCUGAUAACAUCCCUCGUAUCAUCCUCGUCACUUUUUUCAUUUUGCGAAGAGCUCGUUGUUGUAUUUACUGCAUCUAAAAAAAGAAAGAAAAAAGAAAAAUAAAUAAAUAAAUAAAUAAAUAAAUAAAACUAAAAUAAAAUAAAAAGGAAUACAAGUGUAAUUCGAUAUGUAAAAAUUGCAUUGUUAGCUUUACGAUCUUCAGUAAAGUCGUAAACUUUUUUUUAGCAAGUGAAUCAUUAAAAUUGCACACACUUGUAUUGAAUAUUAUAAUUCAUCAUAGAUCCCUCUCGCCCCUUUUUUUUUUUUUUUCUUUUUCUUUUUAAAUUAAUAUCUCAUCGAUCCAAUAUCACCAAUACAAACAAAUCGAGAUUAAGAUUAAUCAAAAGAUCAAUGUUAAACGAUUAUGUUUUAUUUAUAUGUGUUUAUUUGUGUGAUCUCUCGAUACACAAUUCAAUAAAAUUUUUUCAAACAUAAUAAAUCCAUGGAAAUAAAAACGUUUUUAAAAAUCUCAGUUAUCACAAAACAAUUAAUCCACUUUGCUUUGAUUAUUUGUUUUCUGAACGUCGCGACAUUCAAAUGCAAUACAAACGUAUUAGAUUUAUCAUCGAACGAGGAUAUUUUCGAACCGAAGGUGUAAAAUGUACAUUGGAUUAAUUUAGCGGAUUAUCCAUUUCUUUUUUUUUUUUUUAAAAAAAAUUUAUUAUUAUUCGAAUGAGUGAAUGAAUAAUAACGAAAUAUCAUUGAUUAUAAUUUAU